AACGAACGCUGGCGGCAGGCCUAACACAUGCAAGUCGAGCGCCCUCUCGGGGGGACGGCGGACGGGCGGGUAACGCGUGGGGAACGGCUCUUCUCUACGGCAUAGCCUAGGGAAACGGAGAGUAAUACCGUAGACGCCCUGCGGUGGAAAGAUAUAUCGAGGAAGGAUUAGAGCACGGUGGAUUAGGUCGUUGGUAGGGUAAUGGACUACCAGGCCGACGAUCCAUAGGUGGUUAGAGAGGCUGAUCAGACACACUGUCCCUGAGACACGGUCCAGACUCCUACGGGAGGCAGGAGUGGGGAAUCUUGGACAAUGGGGGCAAUCCUGAUCGAGCCAUGCCGCGUGAGUGAUGAAGGCCUGAGGGUAGUAAAGCUCUUUCAGCUGGGAAGAUAAUGACGGUACCAGCAGAAGAAGCCCCGGCUAACUCCGUG
rnacentral:rRNA from 1 species